AGUCCUGCGUUUCUUCGAAAUCCAACAACACCGGAGAACAUUUUCGGGCAGGCUCAAGCACGUCAUGACGUCAUAGUCUUAACUGUGCAGCCGUAGGUGCUCGCGUCCGGUGGGAGUGUCCGUGGAAGUCCCUGCACAAAACGGUGUCAGUGAAGGACGAUGUUCAACAGAUGAAUCCUCCCAAGUUCUUCCAGGCCAGCGAUAUGUCCAACCUCACCUUUCUCAAUGAGGCCAGCGUCUUAGAAAACCUGCGCAGCCGUUACGUCGACAUAAGGAUCUAUGGAAGCCACAAAGCCCUCAUAGUAUACGCAGAGAAUACAGUAUUGCAUGUGACCAACCUUGCAUACAGCAUUUUCCCUGUGAAUUGCAUACCUACUAUGUUGGACCAAGACUUUUGUUGAGUCUUGCUUUAUUCAUGUAAAUGGUCCUUUAUGGCGGCACGGUGGCCGACUGGUUAGAGCGUCAGCCUCACAGUUCUGAGGACCCGGGUUCAAUCCCCGGUCCCGCCUGUGUGGAGUUUGCAUGUUCUCCCCGUGCCUGCGUGGGUUUUCUCCGGGCACUCCGGUUUCCUCCCACAUCCCAAAAACAUGCAUGAAUUGGGGACUCUAAAUUGCCCGUAGGCAUGACUGUGAGUGCGAAUGGUUGUUUGUUCCUAUGUGCCCUGCGAUUGGCUGGCAACCAGUUCAGGGUGUACCCCGCCUCCUGCCCGAUGACAGCUGGGAUAGGCUCCAGCACGCCCGCGACCCUAGUGAGGAGAAGCGGCUCAGAAAAUGGAUGGAUGGAUGGAUGGUCCUUUAUGCUCUCCCCGUCCUUCUAGACCUAUUCUGGCCUUUUCUGUGUGACCAUCAACCCGUACAAGUGGCUGCCCAGCUACGGCUCGAAAGUGGCCCAGAUGUACAAGGGGAAGAAACGCAAUGAAGUUCCUCCUCACCUCUUCUCCAUCUCGGGCAAUGCCUACCAUGACAUGAUGCUAGAGCACGGGAACCCAUCUAUGCCGAUCACGUAUGAACCUUCCGACAAGUCAAAAGUCACCCCGUCGAAGAACCGCAUCACCAACAUUUCUCACUACUUGUGUCCAUCUCUGAAAUGUCCUCUCCAGCGGAUAAGACGGAAAACACCAAGAAGGUGAUUCAGUACUUUGUCAGUAACUGACUGACUCC